rnacentral:rRNA from 1 species
GGGGCGAGAGCCGCGAACGGGUGAGUAACACGUGGGUUUACCUGGCCUCGAUGACCGGGACAACCCGAGGAAAACUCGGGCUAAUACCCGGAUGUGCCCGCAAGGGGAAAGGAAGCUUCGGCCUCCGCAUCGAGAUGGGCCCGCGGCCCAUUAGCUUGUUGGUAGGGUAAACGGCCUACCAAGGCGACGAUCGGUAGCCGGCCUGAGAGGGUGAUCGGCCACACUGGAACUGAGACACGGCCCAG